rnacentral:rRNA from 1 species
GUGUCAGCAGCCGCGGUAAUACAGAGGGUGCAAGCGUUAAUCGGAGUUACUGGGCGUAAAGGGCGCGUAGGCGGUUUAUUAAGUGAGAUGUGAAAUCCCUGGGCUUAACCUAGGAACUGCAUCUUAUACUGGUAGACUGGAGUACUGUAGAGGGUAGUGGAAUUUCCGGUGUAGCGGUGAAAUGCGUAGAGAUCGGAAGGAACACCAGUGGCGAAGGCGGCUACCUGGACAGAUACUGACGCUGAGGCGCGAAAGCGUGGGGAGCAAACAGGAUUAGAUACCCUGGUAGUCC